rnacentral:lncRNA from 1 species
UAAAAACCAGAUCGUACGGGUUGUUGCUCGUUCCGCGACUGCAACGGCAGUACGGAAACUCCGUCGUACUGCAGGGAAGCAUUAGAACAUUCGGAACGGGGCAAGGGCCACAAGGGUACAGCACAGCACGGUGCGGGUAAAAUCAUCGAAUGCUGUACUCAAGGUGGCUCGUUGUGGCCUGUUGUACAUGGAUAUGCUAAGGAAAG